CAUGCCCCUCACCCCGCCCCCGACAUCCCUCCCACCGUGCUCAUGUACCUUCCAUCAGCGACCUUCUAUCGGCGCAAUUCCAGGAAUCCUCCAUUGUCGCCCGUGCGUCAUCGCCCCAUGCCCGUGCUCAUGCCCCCGCCCCCAACAUCCUCCAACCUGUGCCAUUCCAUCGGCGUUUGCCCCGCUCUCCGUCGAUGGAAGGUGACCGAUGCAGGGAUGGUCCGUGGCCACCCCAGCCAUCCUCGCCCUGCUCCCCACAAUCUCCUUCCCCUCCUCCGCUGCGUCUUCAUCCCUCCCCUCUAGCUCCCGCCUCGCCCGCGACCUCCACCGUCGCGUCUUCAUCCCUCCCCCCCGCCAACCCCGCUCCGCUUAAUCCUUGGCGCCCCUCGCUGCCCGCUCCCCCUCCAUGCCACGCCAGCUAGACCGCCCGUCGUGAGCUAGGGACUCUCGACCAUGGGGGACGGUGGUGCUGACGCCUCCUCCUCGCUGCCCCACCGCCCGGGGCUUUCUCCUACCUCACUGUCUUCUACAACUACGCCCUCGUCGCCACCCUACUCGACUUUGCUGUCAUGCAGUCCAUCAAGUUCUUCGUCAUAUGGUACAUGAGUCCACCCAUACACCCCCCAUUUCCACCCUGUCCGCAUCGCCCCGUCUAUUUCCUCCAAAUCGUUGAAUUGUCUUCUGAUGCCCGCUCCAAGCACUGAGGGAUCCGACACCGGCGACGUGUUCAUGGUGCAAGGGGCAUCCUACAGAAACCCAUAAGUGAAGAAAAGAACAUGCCAAAGAGAUGGGCCGCGAACGAUUACCUCUACUGGCCCGACUUCGGCGUCUUCCAUUGAGGAAUUGCCCGUCCUUUGAGUUGACUUCUCUUGCAGCCUCAUCAAGUUCGGAUUUUAGCAGGAUGAGACUUGAAGAUUCUACUCUUAGGAAAAUUCAUUGUCUGUGCUUCAGGUACCAUCUUCAAACUUGGGCUAACCUAUGUUUGGUGAUUGUAGCAAGCUAUUUAAUUUAGACAUUAUAUCUUUGAACUUGCUUAUCGAAGUGCUUUGAUCAACUGCCAUAUUGAACAUGUAAGUUGGUGAUUUAUCUUAUAACAACAGUGGAAACUACAUCUAUUUGAGCUUGAAGAGGAGCUGAAGACUAAUCCUCUGACCAAGUAUGUGUUGUAUCAGAUGAGAGGAGCAAGAAUUGGCGAGUCCAAGCUGUCGCAGUUGGUCCUGACAGGUUCGAGAGCCGGAAGGCUCUGUCAGAAAAGUGGAGGGGCAUGAGAGACGAUGGACUUUCAGCAGAAACCAACAUUCCUGGCUGUGUGUUUGUCCAUAUGAGUGGCUUCAUUGGGAGCAACAAGAUCAACGAGGGAGCAUUGGAAAUCACAAGAGCUACUCUGAAAUGUUGAUUCAACCACCAUCU